rnacentral:rRNA from 1 species
GACGAACCGAGCGAACGUUAUUCGGAAUCACUGGGCUUAAAGGGUGCGUAGGCGGGCACGCGAGUCAGGGGUGAAAUCCCACGGCCCAACCGUGGAAGUGCCUCUGAUACCGCGGGCCUCGAGGGGGAUAGGGGCGUGCGGAACUUCCGGUGGAGCGGUGAAAUGCGUAGAUAUCGGAAGGAACACCGGUGGCGAAAGCGGCGCGCUGGAUCCCUACUGACGCUGAGGCACGAAAGCCAGGGGAGCGAACGGG